UCGUUUGGCUUUGGCUGGCCGGAAGGGGAGAGCGAGAGCGCAGAGAGCCGCCCGCAAGUGAGAGGCCGCUGCGGCUGGAGGGCAGAGGCCGCUGGCCGACGGCGGGGCGGGAGGGAGAGUUGGCCGAGCCGCCACAAGGUAUCGGACGGUACAGCUUCUUCUCCCCGGAAAGGAACCUCCUCUUCGCCCUCGUUUACGAAGUUUAUAAAAUGCUCUCAGUUCUGAAGAUAGACGAAUUUCUCGAACUCUUCUACCCAGGAUUUUUUCCUCACUAGUCGGUCAGACAAUUCCUACAACACGUUUCGGACCACCUACUACUAGAACAGAACUCUCUGUUUUAUCCUUGAAGACACAUGAAAACCUCAGAAGGGUCAACACGGCCUUUAGUCGACUCCUGAUGGAUGUUGUUCGACCUCAGACUAGAAAGUUUGAGAUUUUUUGCAAUGUACCUCGAAGAACUCGUCUCUCUACUGAACUUUUCUCCGUCCCUUCUGUGACUACUCUCUCUUCUGCGAAACCUCCUCGACUUCCGACAUCUCGAUGCGGUAUUCUUCAAUUUCCUUCUUGAUCGACGGAUACGACUAUCACUAGGUAGACGUGAUCUCCGCUACUUCCUACGAUGACUCCAACGGGUAAGCCGUCGAUUGUCUACCUGUCUGUUGUAGAAGUGAAACGUUGUUACCACAAGUUGAUGUAAGGGCGUUCGUUUUCUUGUCGAACUUGUGUACAUGUUCCUCCACCCGUAUUGACUUCUGAAACUCAUAGACGUCAUUACGAGCUGUCGGACGUAUACGGGAUAACGUAGUAGCACACGUCAGAGGGAGUCGUGCACCACAACCUAGAUCUCAUCAAGUGGGUUUUAACUCCACUCUACGGAACGGAUAGUAACAGCAGUCCUCUCUUACAAGUGAUGCAAUUUUGCCACGAUGUUCUACUUAAACCGUGUACGUAAAUUCUCUAAUCGUUAGACUGCUCCUUCUUUUUCUUCCUAGACUUUAUUCUUCUCUGAACAUACUGUGCAUUGAUUGCGGUGGAACGCUUUCCAUCUUGCCGUGUCCGGAGAGAAUAUAAGAUCAUAUUACCUCCUGCAAGGGCUUAUCUUUAUCCGGAAAGAGAGGUUAUAAGAAAGCGUGGGACCGGCGUUCUUAGACUUAAAACAGAAAACGCAACAACAGUACAAACGAGCCAAUGAUCAAAAGAUUCCGAUGUAAUCCUCAUCAUAAGAUGCAAUCCUCCCUCAUGGAGGAUCUUUUUUUUUGGCAAUAGGUAACAACACUGGUAAACUCCGAAUCAAAACGAUUCCGUGCACUCCCGAAUCAAACAACAACGACAACAUUCGAUACCAGAUUC
rnacentral:rRNA from 1 species